rnacentral:lncRNA from 1 species
UUUUUUUUGACGGAAAAAAGCUUAUCUCAUUUCAAUAAUAAUAAUAUUGUAAAUACAAGAUGGUAUAGUGAUAAAAUUAUGGAAACUAGCUAAGGAUGUAGCCGCCCCGGCAAGCCUAUGAGCAACUUCAUUUGCUUGUCUCCUAAUGAACUUAACAUCAGAGUUCACAAGAUUAGAAGCUAGAAUAUUUCUACAAUCCAUUAAAAUAGCACCAAGAUCAGAGAGAUAGGUUCUUUUACUGUGAAGGCUGUCGACUAUCUUUUUGCAGUCCAUUUCAAAAUCAGUGUCAUAUAGCUGCAUUCCUUCUACCCACUUGAGUGCAUACAGC